rnacentral:rRNA from 1 species
GACGAACGCUGGCGGCGUGCCUAAUACAUGCAAGCUGAGCGCUGAAGGUUGGUACUUGUACCAACUGGAUGAGCAGCGAACGGGUGAGUAACGCGUGGGGAAUCUGCCUUUGAGCAGGGGACAACAUUUGGAAACGAAUGCUAAUACCGCAUAAAAACUUUAAACACAAGUUUUAAGUUUGAAAGAUGCAAUUGCAUCACUCAAAGAUGAUCCCGCGUUGUAUUAGCUAGUUGGUGAGGUAAAGGCUCACCAAGGCGAUGAUACAUAGCCGACCUGAGAGGGUGAUCGGCCACAUUGGGACUGAGACACGGCCCAAACUCCUACGGGAGGCAGCAGUAGGGAAUCUUCGGCAAUGGACGAAAGUCUGACCGAGCAACGCCGCGUGAGUGAAGAAGGGUGUCGGAUCGUAAAACUCUGUUGGUAGAGAAGAACGUUGGUGAGAGUGGAAAGCUCACCAAGUGACGGUAACUACCCAGAAAGGGACGGCUAACUACGUG